UCCCUGGUAGUAUAUCGGCUAGUACACGCGCCUGUCAUCGCCAUACGUUGUGUUGGAUAAGCUCGAUUUCGCGCGAAAGCUGGGUUCGACUCCCAGCCAGGGAG